CCUGGCGAUGCUAUAUGGUAUGUGAUUGCGUUUCUCCUGCGCGCAUUCAACCAAAAUUCAUAUUUCUCAUAUAUACUAUCAAACAAAUAUUUUAUGAUAAUGUCAUCAUCAUCUACAAAACAUCAGCAAAUAAAAUGAAUUGGAAAAUAGAAAAAUCAUGAAUUAUACCAGGCGCUCUUCAGUGUCGUAUAUCUGCGGGAAAACGACGUCGUUUCUCUGGCUACAAAUUUACCAAAAGAGCGAUGAGUUUCUCCGGCGAAUACGGUGGUGGAUCCGUCUUCGGAAAUGGCAGAAAGAGACGGCCGCCACCGUUGGGUUCCGUCGAUCCUUCUCCGCUCCGGAAAAAGCGGCGCGCGGCGGUUAACACUUGGAGAGAUCGUCGUCUUCAUGCGCGCGUGAGAAUCAAUCGCGGUUGAAGAAGAAGAAGAUGAUUCCUCUCGUUCUGCCGGAG